AUUGAACGCUGGCGGCGUGCUUAACACAUGCAAGUCGAUCGGUAACAGGUGUAGCAAUACAUGCUGACGAGAGGCGGACGGGUGAGUAAUGCUUGGGAAUCUGCCUAUUAGUGGGGGACAACCCGGGGAAACUCGGGCUAAUACCGCAUACGCUCUACGGAGGAAAGCCGGGGACCGCAAGGCCUGGCGCUAAUAGAUGAGCCCAAGUCGGAUUAGCUAGUUGGUAGGGUAACGGCCUACCAAGGCGACAAUCCGUAGCUGGUCUGAGAGGACGACCAGCCACACCGGAACUGAGACACGGUCCGGACUCCUACGGGAGGCAGCAGUGGGGAAUAUUGGACAAUGGGGGCAACCCUGAUCCAGCGACGCCGCGUGGGUGAAGAAGGCCUGCGGGUUGUAAAGCCCUUUCGGU
rnacentral:rRNA from 1 species